rnacentral:rRNA from 1 species
UACACUCCUACGGGAGGCAGCAGUGGGGAAUUUUGGACAAUGGGCGAAAGCCUGAUCCAGCAAUGCCGCGUGAGUGAAGAAGGCUUUCGGGUUGUAAAGCUCUUUUGUCAGGGAAGAAACGGUGAAAGCUAAUAUCUUUUGCUAAUGACGGUACCUGAAGAAUAAGCACCGGCUAACUACGUGCCAGCAGCCGCGGUAAUACGUAGGGUGCAAGCGUUAAUCGGAAUUACUGGGCGUAAAGCGUGCGCAGGCGGUUUUGUAAGUCUGAUGUGAAAUCCCCGGGCUCAACCUGGGAAUUGCAUUGGAGACUGCAAGGCUAGAAUCUGGCAGAGGGGGGUAGAAUUCCACGUGUAGCAGUGAAAUGCGUAGAUAUGUGGAGGAACACCGAUGGCGAAGGCAGCCCCCUGGGUCAAGAUUGACGCUCAUGCACGAAAGCGUGGGGAGCAAACAGGAUUAGAAACCCUAGUAGUCCCAUGA